UCAAAGAAAAUGAGAUGGUUUAACCAUUGAAAUGGAUACACCUCUGAAUGGGCACUUGAUUAAAAACUUGUAGGAUUCAUAUUGCACCGGUUUUGAGAAACUUUAGUAUCACUUCACAAACUCCCUGAAGAAAACCUUAAAUGACCAUGAUGAUGCUGCAUUGAGUAUCUUGCAGGUCUCUUGGAUAUGCUCCAAUUCCUACAUCCUUUAGUUCAGUGGGCAAUUAUAUCAAUGUGCUCUUAGAUGGGGAACGAGCAUUGAACGAACAAUACUCAACUUGAGGCCCAUAAAAUAUUUUUACAACAACAAAUUGAGGUUGCACGAAGACAUUUGAUUCAGUCCCUGCUCUGAGGAAGGCAGUUUUAUUAGGCUACAGCCCUAUUAGACCUUGGAUGUCUGUAGUUUACAGGUUCACUAUAGAAACCAAGUUCGAGCUCUCUUUCUUCUAUAUAAAAUAAACGCAAUGAAUCAUAUUGUUGCAAUGUGUUUUGUUGUGUAUUUUAUGCUAAGCUCCAUCCAACUGCUAUGAAGUCUUCCAAAGUAAGCAGAGUUAUUGUCAUUCCAUUAUCUUGCUUUGUUAUAUAUAGUAACAUACAACAUGAGGCCUUUUCUGAUUUUCACGUUUUAGUGUUGUUCAUCUUCAUUUUGCCCUUAAAAGCAAGGUAUAAAGGUUGAAAUGAAUUUCAAAAUGA